CCUACGGGAGGCAGCAGUGAGGAAUAUUGGUCAAUGGACGAGAGUCUGAACCAGCCAAGUAGCGUGAAGGAUGACUGCCCUAUGGGUUGUAAACUUCUUUUAUAAAGGAAUAAAACGAGGCACGUGUGCCUUUUUGCAUGUACUUUAUGAAUAAGGAUCGGCUAACUCCGUGCCAGCAGCCGCGGUAAUACGGAGGAUCCGAGCGUUAUCCGGAUUUGUGGGGUUUAAAGGGAGCGUAGAUGGGUUGUUAAGUCAGUUGUGAAAGUUUGCGGCUCAACCGUAAAAUUGCAAUUGAUACUGGCAGUCUUGAGUACAGAUGAGGUAAGCGGAAUUCGUGGUGUAGCGGUGAAAUGCAUAGAUAUCACGAAGAACCCCGAUUGCGAAGGCAGCUCACUAAACUGUGACUGACACUGAUGCACGAAAGUGUGGGUAUCAAACAGGAUUAGAUACCCCAGUAGUC
rnacentral:rRNA from 1 species